UUACAGAGUGCUGAUUGGUGUGUUUACAAA
rnacentral:piRNA from 1 species